UACGGGGGGGGCAAGCGUUGUUCGGAAUUACUGGGCGUAAAGGGCGCGUAGGUGGCGCUCCAAGUCCGUGGUGAAAGCUCGAUGCUCAACAUCGAGUCGGCCACGGAGACUGGAGGGCUCGAGCACUGUAGGGGCAGAUGGAAUUCCGGGUGUAGCGGUGGAAUGCGUAGAUAUCAGGAGGAACACCGGUGGCGAAGGCGGGUAGCUGGGCCGACACUGACGCUGAUGCGCGAAAGCCAGGGGAGCGAACGGG
rnacentral:rRNA from 1 species